rnacentral:rRNA from 1 species
AGCUCGUGUCGUGAGAUGUUGGUUAAGUCCGCAACGAGCGCAACCCCUACUUGUUAGUUGUCCAUCAUUCAGUUGGGCGACUCUAGCGAGACUGCCGGUAAUAAACCGGAGGAAGGUGGGGAUGACGUCAAAUCAUCAUGCCCCUUAUGACCUGGGCUACACACGUGCUACAAUGGUUGGUACAACGAGUUGCGAGUCGGUGACGGCGAGCUAAUCUCUUAAAGCCAAUCUCAGUUCGGAUUGUAGGCUGCAACUCGCCUACAUGAAGUCGGAAUCGCUAGUAAUCGCGGAUCAGCACGCCGCGGUGAAUACGUUCCCGGGCCUU